rnacentral:rRNA from 1 species
UUGGGAAGGGGGGUUAUUUAUUAGAUUAAAAACCAAUGCCCUUCGGGGCUAACUGGUGAUUCAUAAUAACUUCUCGAAUCGCAUGGCCUUGCGCUGGCGAUGGUUCAUUCAAAUUUCUGCCCUAUCAACUUUCGACGGCUGGGUCUUGGCCAGCCAUGGUGACAACGGGUAACGGAGGGUUAGGGCUCGACCCCGGAGAAGGAGCCUGAGAAACGGCUACUACAUCCAAGGAAGGCAGCAGGCGCGCAAAUUACCCAAUCCCGACACGGGGAGGUAGUGACAAUAAAUACUGAUACAGGGCUCUUUUGGGUCUUGUAAUUGGAAUGAGUACAAUUUAAAUCCCUUAACGAGGAACAAUUGGAGGGCAAGUCUGGUGCCAGCAGCCGCGGUAAUUCCAGCUCCAAUAGCGUAUAUUAAAGUUGUUGAGGUUAAAAAGCUCGUAGUUGAACCUUGGGCUCGGCCCGUCGGUCCGCCUCACCGCGUGCACUGACUGGGUCGGGCCUUUUCCUGAGAACCGCAUGCUUCCCCGG